GUCAGCAGGAUGGCUAUGGGGCUCCGGAUGUUUGCAGGGACUGUGUUGUCACAUGGUAACUUGGUCCAGAGCCCAUCCCACUUCCCCAGGACUGGGAGGCACCUUCACACCUAACUGUGCCAUGGCUGUCAGGCUCCCCUGCUAUGUGGCCCUUUACCUUCUGGGGUCAGGCUUCAUGGAUGCUGAUGUCUCUCAGACCCCAAGAUACUGUGUUACAGGAAGAGGAAAGAAGGUUAUUCUGGAAUGUUCUCAAACCAUGGGCCAUGAGAGUAUGUACUGGUAUCAACAAGAUGCAGGAAUGGAGCUACAGCUGAUCCACUAUUCAUAUGGUGUUAACAUCACAGAGAAAGGAGAGCGCUCCUCUGGGUCCACCGUCUCCAGACCAAGGAAGGACCACUUUGUGCUGACACUGCAGUCGGCCAGCCCCUCGCAGACAUCUCGGUACCUCUGUGCCAGCAGUGAAUACACAUCGCUACACAGGCACCUCUAGCCUGCCCCAAAAGGAUGCCACCAGGGUGAGGGAGCCCCACCUUCACAAACCUCAUCUGAAACUACAGAAACCAGCACAUGUCUUCCUAGACUCCUUGGCCCUGUGGGGCCGGUGGGGUCUGAGCAAUGAUCUGGGUGGGAAACUAUCCUUUGGUCAGUCUCUACCCAGCCCACAGUCAGGGCCGACUUCCCUUCAGCAUCUAACUGCAAUCAGAUGACCAGCUGAGGCUUGCAAGCAUUGUGGCCUUCAAGAUAAGUGGCAUUUUACUUGACAGUUGCCUAUAGCCACCUGCAGGAGAGCCUUUAGUAGCUAAGAAACAAGAAAACGUUCCUCUGGCUUCCUCCACAACUGUCUGCAUCUCUGGCUAAUGGUUCCUUCCUCACAUAAAACUAGUUACUUCACACAUGGCAUCUCAAAGUCUCUUUCCUUUCCCAAGCCCAAUCUCUCCUCCUACAACUUCAGGACCAAAAUCUAUGACUUUGAUCUUGGGAAAACAGAAGGACCCGAACUGAUCAUUUUCACUAUGCUAUCUCUAAAUCAAUGGAAUCGUAACUAAAUCUAUUUGAGACAUAAGGCAAAGAAACUGUAGUGCCAAGAAAACCCUCCAGCAACUGCCUGCAUUGAACCCUGCAUCUCUCUGGAGACCACCCUGACCAUCGGGCAGCUCUUUUGCAGAUUGAUGUGUCUUCUGGCUUAGAUACGUGGAAUAUUACAGAUGUUGGACUACACGCACACUAGACCAGACCUGGAGCCUUGACUCCAUCUAUUUGCACAGGCAAUAGACAAAAUGCAGUUAUCAGCUAGGGGGCACUAUGUCUCCUGAGAAGAGGUGGGUGCUGAGCUCUGACCUAAGACCUGCACUUGGUCUUCUGUUCUUUUAAUCUGCAUGCUUAUCCCAUGCUCAUACCAUACUCUCUUGAUUACUGUAGCUUUAUACUAUUUUUCAAAAUUGGCCAGUGUAAGUCUUCCAACUGUGUCUUUCUUUUUCAAAAUUGUUUUAAUAUUAAAA